UACGAAGGGGGCUAGCGUUGUUCGGAAUUACUGGGCGUAAAGCGCGUGUAGGCUGAUUGGCAAGUUGGGGGUGAAAUCCCGGGGCUCAACCCCGGAACUGCCUCCAAAACUGCCAGUCUGGAGUCCGGAAGAGGUGAGUGGAAUUCCGAGUGUAGAGGUGAAAUUCGUAGAUAUUCGGAGGAACACCAGUGGCGAAGGCGGCUCACUGGUCCGGUACUGACGCUGAGACGCGAAAGCGUGGGGAGCAAACAGG
rnacentral:rRNA from 1 species